GACGAACGCUGGCGGCGUGCCUAACACAUGCAAGUCGAGCGGAGUCGAUCGACGGAAGCCUUCGGGCGGAAGAUGGUUGACUUAGCGGCGGAUGGGUGAGUAACGCGUGGGCAACCUGCCUCGAAGACCGGGAUAACAGCCCGAAAGGGCUGCUAAUACCGGAUGUGGUCAAGGAUCCGCAUGGAUUUUUGAUUAAAGGGGAAACCCGUUUCGAGAUGGGCCCGCGUCCUAUCAGCUAGUUGGUGAGGUAAAAGCUCACCAAGGCGACGACGGGUAGCCGGCCUGAGAGGGUGACCGGCCACACUGGAACUGAGACACGGUCCAGACUCCUACGGGGGCAGCAGUGGGGAAUCUUCCACAAUGGGCGAAAGCCUGAUGGAGCGACGCCGCGUGAGCGAAGAAGGCCUCGGUUGUAAGCUCUGUCUGGAGGGACGAAGGAAGUGACGGUACCUCCGGAGGAAGCCACGGCUAACUACGUG
rnacentral:rRNA from 1 species